CUUCUGAGCAACUCAACUCACCUACACAAAAAAAAAAUGAGGUAGAGCUGAUGGGCUGCUGACAGGUGCUGCUGGAGGCUGAGAGAUGGAAAAUCAAGGAUACCCUGACAUGGUCUGUCACUAGCUUGAAGAGAAAAAAGCAGGAUCCAGUCUUUCGUUAUUUACUGAUGUCACUGCAGCCUGGGAGAGAAAUUAACACAGUCGUGAAUUAUGGACCAUGCUGGUCUUUUCCAUCCCACCUACUACUUUCUGAUGCUGAGCACCUGAGGGAUAAGGAGAGAAUCGUUCUGGCCUGUGGGUGUGUGUUUCUGAGAUGAGGGCACAGACAGGCAGGACAUAACCUGUACCUUCUCUGCAGAGGUUACCACCAGCACUAUCUUCAUUUUAUUUGAAGAAAAGGAACUCCAACGUUACAUA